rnacentral:rRNA from 1 species
GUGUCAGCAGCCGCGGUAAUACGAAGGGGGCUAGCGUUGUUCGGAAUUACUGGGCGUAAAGCGCGCGCAGGCGGCCUUUCAAGUCGGUGGUGAAAUCCCAGAGCUCAACUCUGGAAUUGCCAUCGAAACUGUAAGGCUUGGGUACGGGAGAGGUGAGUGGAAUUCCGAGUGUAGAGGUGAAAUUCGUAGAUAUUCGGAAGAACACCAGUGGCGAAGGCGGCUCACUGGCCCGUUACCGACGCUCAGGCGCGACAGCGUGGGGAGCAAACAGGAUUAGAUACCCCCGUAGUCC